rnacentral:rRNA from 1 species
AACGAACGCUGGCGGCGUGGAUUAGGCAUGCAAGUCGAACGGUAGCUUAGCUUUUUCGAGCUAUAGUGGCGAAAGGGUGAGUAACACGUGGGAUACGUACCCUGAGGUUCGGGAUAACCAGUCGAAAGAUUGGCUAAUACCGGAUAAGUUAAUGUGCUUUCGAGCAUAUUAGGAAAGAUAGGGACCUCGCAAGAGGCCUGUCACCUUUGGAUCGGCCCGCGGCCUAUCAGCAGUUGGUGAGGUAAUGGCUCACCAAGGCUAAGACGGGUAGCUGGUCUGAGAGGAUGGUCAGCCACACUGGAACUGAGACACUGUCCAGACAUCUACGGAUGGCUGCAGUCG